rnacentral:rRNA from 1 species
AACGAACGCUGGCGGCAUGCCUAACACAUGCAAGUCGAACGAGACCUUCGGGUCUAGUGGCGCACGGGUGCGUAACGCGUGGGAACCUGCCCUUAGGUUCGGAAUAACUCCCCGAAAGGGGUGCUAAUACCGGAUAAUGUCUUCGGACCAAAGAUUUAUCGCCUUUGGAUGGGCCCGCGUUGGAUUAGCUAGUUGGUAGGGUAAAAGCCUACCAAGGCGACGAUCCAUAGCUGGUCUGAGAGGAUGAUCAGCCACACUGGGACUGAGACACGGCCCAGACUCCCUCGGGAGGGCGCCAGUGGGGAUAUUGGGACAUGGGGCGAAGGCUGGACCCGCCAUGGCGGGUGAGGUGAUGAAGGCCUUGGGUUGGUAAGGCUCUUUACCCGGGAUGAUAAUGACAGUACCGGGAGAAUAAGCUCCGGCUAACUCCGUG